ACACUCCUGCGGGAGGCAGCAGUGGGGAAUAUUGGACAAUGGGCGCAAGCCUGAUCCAGCCAUGCCGCGUGAGUGAUGAAGGCCCUAGGGUUGUAAAGCUCUUUCACCGGUGAAGAUAAUGACGGUAACCGGAGAAGAAGCCCCGGCUAACUUCGUGCCAGCAGCCGCGGUAAUACGAAGGGGGCUAGCGUUGUUCGGAUUUACUGGGCGUAAAGCGCACGUAGGCGGACUAUUAAGUCAGGGGUGAAAUCCCGGGGCUCAACCCCGGAACUGCCUUUGAUACUGGUAGUCUUGAGUUCGAGAGAGGUGAGUGGAAUUCCGAGUGUAGAGGUGAAAUUCGUAGAUAUUCGGAGGAACACCAGUGGCGAAGGCGGCUCACUGGCUCGAUACUGACGCUGAGGUGCGAAAGCGUGGGGAGCAAACAGGAUUAGAUACCCGUGUAGUCCCAUGAU
rnacentral:rRNA from 1 species